rnacentral:rRNA from 1 species
ACCCUCGGGAAACUGAGAAUAAUACUCCAUAGGUCUAGGAUGCUGGAAUGCACUUAGACUAAAAGCUUCGGUGCCUAAGGAUGAGUCUGCGGACUAUCAGGUUGUAGUCAGGGUAAUGACCUGACUAGCCUAUGACGGAUACGGGUUGUGAGAGCAAUAACCCGGAGAUGAUAUCUGAGACACGAUAUCAGGCCCUACGGGGCGCAGCAGGCGCGAAAACUUCGCAAUGUGCGAAAGCACGACGAGGGAAUCCCAAGUGCUGGCUCGUUAGAGUCAGCUGUUUUUAUGUCUAAAAAGCAUAGAGAGUAAGGGCUGGGUAAGACGGGUGCCAGCCGCCGCGGUAAUACCUGCAGCUCAAGUGGUGACCGCUAUUAUUGGGCCUAAAACGUCCGUAGCCUGUUUAUUAAAUGCCUAGGUAAAUUGUAUGGCUUAACCAUACGAAUUCUGGGUAGACUGGUAAACUUGAGAUCGGGAGAAGCUAGAGGUACUCCUGGGGUAGAGGUGAAAUUCUGUAAUCCUAGGGGGACCACCAGUGGCGAAGGCGUCUAGCUAGAACGAGUUUGACGGUGAGGGACGAAGCCCUGGGGCGCAAACGGGAUAAGAUACCCAGGUAGUCCAGGGUGUAAACGCUGCUUGCUUGAUGUUAGUCGGGCUUCGAGCCCGAUUAGUGUCGGAGAGAAGUUGUUAAGCAAGCUGCCUGGUAGGUACGGCCGCAUGACUGGAACUUAA